rnacentral:rRNA from 1 species
AUGAUGUGCCAGACGCGUGCCUCUCCGGCCCUGCCGGGCAACCUUAAUAGAUAAGCGAGCGCCCGCCCUGAUCAAGCCGGCCAUAGCGUCAGGGUGCGACCCAAUCCCAUUCCGAACUUGGAAGUCAAACCUGAUGUCGCUGUUGUGUUACUAAGAUGCGAGAGCUCUUGGGAAGCAACAGUGCUGGCAUCAUC